GAUGAAGAACGCAGCAAAAUGCGAUAAGUAAUGUGAAUUGCAGAAUUCAGUGAAUCAUCGAAUCUUUGAACGCACAUUGCGCCCCUUGGUAUUCCGAGGGGCAUGCCUGUUCGAGCGUCAUUAUAACCCCUCAAGCUCAGCUUGGUGUUGGGGCCUGCUGCACUGGCAGCCCUUAAAAUCAGUGGCGGCGCCAUCUGGCUCUAAGCGUAGUAAUUCUUCUCGCUAUGGAGUCCUGGUGGAUGCUUGCCAUCAACCCCCAAUUUUUCCAUGGUUGACCUCGGAUCAGGUAGGGAUACCCGCUGAACUUAAGCAUAUCAAUAAGCGGAGGA
rnacentral:misc_RNA from 1 species